UAACGCGUGGGUAACCUGCCUUGUACUGGGGGAUAGCAGCUGGAAACGGCUGGUAAUACCGCAUAAGCGCACAAUGUUGCAUGACAUGGUGUGAAAAACUCCGGUGGUAUAAGAUGGACCCGCGUCUGAUUAGCUAGUUGGUGAGAUAACAGCCCACCAAGGCGACGAUCAGUAGCCGGCCUGAGAGGGUGACCGGCCACAUUGGGACUGAGACACGGCCCAG
rnacentral:rRNA from 1 species